ACUAGUAAUCGCAGAUCAGAAUGCUGCGGUGAAUGCGUUCCCGGGUCUUGUACACACCGCCCGUCACACCACGGAAGUUGGGGCGCCCGAAGCCACUUAGCUAACCCAUUUGGGAAGCGAGUGUCGAAGGUGAAAUCAAUAACUGGGGUGAAGUCGUAACAAGGUAUC
rnacentral:rRNA from 1 species